rnacentral:rRNA from 1 species
GACAAACGCUGGCGGCGUGCCUAAUACAUGCAAGUCGAACGAGAGCGACCGGUGCUUGCACUGGUCAAUCUAGUGGCGAACGGGUGAGUAACACGUGGGUAACCUGCCCAUCAGAGGGGGAUAACAUCCGGAAACGGAUGCUAAAACCGCAUAGGUCUUCGAGCCGCAUGGCUUGAAGAGGAAAAGAGGCGCAAGCUUCUGCUGAUGGAUGGACCCGCGGUGCAUUAGCUAGUUGGUGAGGUAACGGCUCACCAAGGCCGUGAUGCAUAGCCGACCUGAGAGGGUGAUCGGCCACAUUGGGACUGAGACACGGCCCAAACUCCUACGGGAGGCAGCAGUAGGGAAUCUUCCGCAAUGGACGCAAGUCUGACGGAGCAACGCCGCGUGAGUGAAGAAGGUUUUCGGAUCGUAAAACUCUGUUGUUAGAGAAGAACAAGUGCUAGAGUAACUGUUAGCGCCUUGACGGUAUCUAACCAGAAAGCCACGGCUAACUACGUG